CAGGACGGGUGAGGGUCCUUCCCUGGUGGAGAGAAGAGGCAGGAGUGGGGGGAAAGUGAGGGCGCCAGCCCUGUCAUCCAAGCCGGGACAGGAGACUUCUUUUGGGUCUUAUUGGGAUCUUACUUUGGAUCACUCUGGCUUGGGAAGUACUCAGCGUGGUUGGACUGUGCACUGUGUUUUUGGAAAGAGAUGGGAGGGAGUGUGGUCUGGUACGUGUCCUGUCAUUUCAAGAGACCCCAGAUCUUUUACCGCAGGCCAUAGGGCGGUCCUGGUGCCCCCAGAGUCACAGCAGGUUGUCAGGCUGGCUUUUCUUUGUGGACCUGCCCUGCUUUUCCCCCAGACAUGUUCCGGCUUCUGAGCUGCAGAGCUUCAGUCUCCCAGCUACACAAUGAAUGAAUGGAUGGAUGGAUGGAUGGAUGGAUGGAUGGAUGGAGUGAAUGAUUGAAUGCAUGCGUAUAAAUGAGGUCAUUGCAUUUAUCCUCAUUAGACCGGGGGUACGCAUAUAAAAACCUCCAUUUUCUCGCCUGGGAUGGAGACACUCAGCUGCCUCCUCCCUCGUUGACUCAUUCAGCAUUCUUCCUUGAGUGGGUGCAGAUGCAGUGCUCAAAAGAAACACACCUGCUGUGACUGGUGAGGCUUAGCUGAGAACACAGGAAAAAAAAAAACACAUGCAAACAAACCACGACCUUUGUUUUGAAGUAGCCAGUUGUAUCUAAUUCUUGAAGAAAUAGGCGGCAUGAUAUAGGAAGUGACAAAGGCAAGGGAGCUUGAGUGGGUGGCAUUCUGGACAUCAUGACACACUGCUCAAGUUCUGACGUAAAGCCUUUGGCCAGUUUGAGAAUAGGAAGAAGCCAUGGAAAGGAGGGUGGAGGUGAGGGAGAUGAGAGGGGCAGGGAAGGCUACAGAUCAUGGGGGAGAAGAGAUAAGAGGGCUGGGUGUUUUGCUAAAUGAAAGGAGGAUCCAGUGUUAUUCUCAAGUCCAGAUCCAUGUUUUAUAGCUCACCAUGGUGAUGCUGGUGGGAGCCUCUGUGGAGGAGGGGAGAACCCUGAGCAGGCAAGACUGUCUAGGAGAGCCACAGAGGUGGACAGACGGGGGAGGUAUCAUGGUGUUGUCAGGUUGCAGGAGGUUCAGGUGUGGGGCAAGAGGGAAAGAGUGGCUGGAGGAAACUGAAACAAGUAGUUACCUAUUGCUACAUUAAAAAUUACUCCAAGUAUGGGAUUAUUUGGUUGUUUUUUUAUUUUAAUUUUUAUUUUGUAGUAAUGAAAAUGUUCUAAUAUUGAUUGUAGUGAUGUAUGCACAACUGCAUGAUGAUAUUGUGAGCCACUGAUUGUAUACUUUGGAUGGUUUGUAUGGUGUGUGAAUAUAUGUCCAUAAAAUUGCAUUAAAAAUUACCCCCAAACUUAAUGGCUCUAAACAAUUAAUAUUUAUCAUUUCGUAUUUACUGUGGUGUAGCUGAGUGUUUCUGGUUCUAGAGCCUCUCAUAAGGUUACCCUCAAAAAUAUUGUCUUGGGUGGCUUCAAUGGGUCUGGAGGAUCCUGUCACAAGAUGGAUCUCUCACUUGGAAGGAGGCCUCAUUUCCCCCUUGACUGCACCCAAGGAUCCCAGAGACAAUUUGAAGACCUAGGGGUAGCUUCCUUGACUGCUGCUCAGAGGGGCUCUGCUUGGCCAUGGGAUACCCAUGGGAGAAAAGAGUCUCCUGGGAGCUGAGCUGUCACCUGCACAGCCCCUACCUGUCCUGGACGGAACCACCACCAUUGGCUACUCAUAGAGUUUUGCAAAGUAUCACUCUGGUUUCGGGGUGACGGUGAAGGUGAAGGCUUCAUUGGCAGGAGGGCUUCAUAUGGAGAAUGAUAAGCAGAGACAGAACCUACCUACAGCAGGACAGAAAAAUCCCCGGCCCCCUCCGCCCCCGGCCGUGCCCACCGCGGCUCCCCGCGCCCUCCCCCGCCGCCCGCACUCGCUGCUCCCCCGCUCGAGGCGCCCUGAGCACACCGGGGCCGCCCAGAGAGACCCGGAAACGCGGGGAAACGGCUGCCUCGGGCACGGGCGGCGGCGCCCACGGCGAGAAUCUGCAGCAGCAGCAGCAGCACGGACACUGCUCGGGGGCAGCGCCCACCCAGGACACUGAGCCGUCACCGCUCGCUCCGCUGCUGACACCUGCAGCAAGAUCGGCCGCCAUCGCCAGGUGAGGACGGGAGAAGGCCGGGGCUGCAGCCAGCGGGGCAUCCAAGGUGGAUGGUGGUGAUGGGAGCACAGCAUUGUGCAUACAAUUAACACCUCUGCAGAUUUCAAAGUGGGCAAAUGGGAAAUUUUAUAUUACAUAUAUGGCAUCACAAUAAAAUAAUAAACAAAGCAAAACAAAAAGCAUCGACCUGUGCAACAAAGUGAACUCUAAUGUAAACCAUGGAUUUAGCUAAUAAUUAUAAUAUUAAUAACCGGGGAAAACUGCAUGUGUGAGGAGGGUAUAAGGAAACUGUGCUCUGCAUGAUUUUUCUGUAAACCUACAAAUGCUCUGAAAAAAAAAAAUGAAUUAAAACUGAGCUACA